CCUUGGCCUCCCAAAGUGCUGGGAUUACAGGUAUGAGCCAUGGCACCUGGCCUUAAAUUUUUUUUUUAAAGGACCUUAUCAUCAGUGCUCAAAGAUAGUCAAAAGAUAGCCAUAGAAAAUGACCAGUGGGGUCUGAUGUUGGUCAUGGAACAUAGGGAGAAAUUUGAGAUUAACAGGAAAUCAAAUUAAUGCUAAUUAGAUUGUUUUUCCCUGAGUAACAAAGACAUAUUAGGAGGAUUUCUGCUCCUAAAUUGCUGUUUACUAUUCCAGAGUCAAAAUACUUGAUCCAAUUCAGUAAAUGGAAUUGUACAAGAGACUAGUGAUGCUUUACCUUUUAUAUCAGAAAAUUUCUCAGAAAUGCACGUAAGUUCAAGUUAUUCUUUUAUUAUAAAAUCACUCUAUAAAGACUGCUUCCUAUGUUUAUGGACAAGGGAGAGGAAAUGAUACAUGCUUAAAAGAUGAGUUAGGAAGCCACUGUGAUUGUUCAGAUGAUAGGCUGGGAGGGAUAGUAAAAGCGAAAUGGAAAAAAUUAUUAGAGACUAUACAGUGGUCAGUGUUAGUUUCAUAUGGAUCAAGUUGGGAGACUUUUAAUAAAGCACAGGAUUAUUUACAUAACCAAUGCAAUUCUCUGGGAUAAAGGGCUCAAUAAGUUAGAGUCUUUGGGAAAGCAAUCUUAGAGCAGAGUUUAACAGCAGUACCAAGGAGUCACACUACCUGAUGUGAAGGGCUGGUUCUAUACCUUAGUAUGGGAAGAUUAUUUAACUUCUCUCUGCUUAGUUUUCUCAUCUUUAAAAUAGUGCAAUGAAGAAUAAACCAUUUAAUAGAAUUGAUUAUGUGUGGAUUAAAUGAAACAAUACAAAUAAGACAUUUAGAACACUUAAAAUGUGUUAUCAUUAUUAUGUUAUUAUGGUUAUUAUUUGGAGUCACAUACACAUGGUUUUAAAUCACUCCUCCACUGUUUACUUGCUGUAUCGCUGUGGGAAAAUUAAACUCUCUAAGUACCCUUCUCUUUAUUGAGGGAAUUGAAUUCAUAUGAUGGCUUUAGGGGUUUGUUCAGAUCCAUGGAGGUAAUCUUCUAACACAUAGAAUAUGCUCAAUAAAUGACAGCACAAAUUCACAUUUUCUAAAGAGAAAAACACUUGGUUUAAAUAACUUGACUGAUUUUAGGGAGAGAAUAAAACAUAUGUAGAAGUGAAAUGUAUCUACUGUAUGUCAUUUAUUCAAAAUUAAUUUUAAAUUUCCUUCCACUGACAAAUAUAUUUAAAAUGUACUGACUAAUUAAAUUUAGUUUAGUAUUUUGUAUGGAUAGACAAAUAGGUAAAAAAAAAGCAAACAAACAAACAAAAAACCAGACAAAUGCAUAUAGAAAGAGUUGUCUCUCCAGACCCAAUAUUGGUAAAUUUUAAAAUCUUGAAGAUGGAUCAUUUUGAUGAUAACACAGGUGUGCAGAAUAUACUAGAUUGUUAUGGAUAAAUGUUUGGCUUAUAAAAAUGGUACUGAAUAUUCAUGCAAAAGCUCCCAUAUGAUGUUAAUUUAAACAAAUCAAAAUUAAAUUCAUUUCAACAAAUGGAGGGCCAUCUAAGUGCAAAGAAAUUUUCCCGCUCGGUGUGUUUCUAUCUAUAUUUUAUUAAUUUGUCUAAAUCUUUUUAAAACACUUUUAAGCAGAAGCCUCCCUUAGAGUAAUAUGAUACUUCACUUUAAAUCUGAAGUUACAUUUCCUUUUAUUUGCUACAACUGUACAUUUUUCUGGCUUCAACAAUUAUUAAUUCUAGUAAAUUAUGAUUUGAUGAUUCUUAGUUCUGUUUUUAUACCAUCCAAACUUUUUAAAGUUAAGUUUUUCUGAACUUUUUUUUUCCAAUGUUUAUUUUCCUGACAUAAAUAGGAUCCAUGUUAAUAGUCUUAUUAUGUGCUAGCAAACCUGUGCCCAGUCUAGAGUGCAAUACUCCCAGUCUGUUGAGUAAUUUUAUGUCGUCUGUUGAUGCCAUUUUUACAAGUGCUAUAGAGGAAUAAAGAAGAAGUGAUGAUGUGUAACCUCUCAUGAAAGAACUGAAAUUCUGGCCAGGGAAUUUGUAAUCAAAUGACAAUUUUUGUUUCACAGUUUUUUGUUUUUACAAUUUUGGUAAACCUUAGAUACCAUGAGUAUUUACUAUGAAUGAACAAGUCACAAGCUUCAAUUAAUACAAAAGUCUCAGAAAUGUCCAUUCUUGGUUGAAUAGGUAACCUAGAUUAUUUUUGUGAGAAAUGUGGAUACCCAUGAAUGAUUGCAUGUAUCUUCCAGUAAAACUGUUUCUAGUUCGUACUGAUAAAAUGAAAUAUAACGGUGCUUGGUAUUUCUCAAAAGGCCUCAUAUUUCCUCAUAAAUUACCUGGGUCUAACAUACUUGACAUCUGCUGUUGCAGUGGUGUACAAUAUAUACCUACAUAUAAAUUGGCCUGGUACAAUUCACAAAAGCACUAAUAAGAAUUAUUUAUAGACGCGAAUGGUGAUGUGAUGUCAAAAGGUUUCUGUAGUGGUGUGUGUGGGAUCAAUUCUAAAGGAGAAGGAGCAUGAUUUGGUAGAAAAGGAACUCAGGUUUCAUAGGAAUGAACAAGAGUUAUCUAAGAAAGAUGAUCGAAUUGGGCCAGAGUCAGGAACUUGCCCAUUUAAUGAAACAAUGUACAGUGAGGCAGGAGAAAAAAAAAAAAAAAGAUUGGGAGGUCUCAAGAGAAAUGGAAAGGGUAUCAAUAAGAAAUUCCUAAUCCUGGCAGCUGACUAAAAGUGGAACAAGCUUCCUAGCAAAGCUGUGAUAUCCACUGAGAGAAGAGAGAUAAUCAAGUCAAGAGUGUCUCCUUAUAGGAUGUUGUUUAAGGAAUUAAUACAUUGGAUAGAAGACAAACUAGAUGCUUUCUAGGAUAUGUUCCACCUCUCAAAUGCUGUGAUUCACCUAUUUGUAUUGCUAAUUAGCAGAUGAAUAUAGUUUGUAAAUGAUAUGACAAUACAAUUGAUUGCUCUGUGAUUAUUAACUACCCCCUCUGCUAAUAACAAUGAGGUUUUUGGAAGAUUUUUAAAGUGAAGCAAUACAUUUCUUUAUGGGAAGAUUAUGUCAUAUUUUCUAACUUGAUUUUGUAAAGCCCAUUUAAAAAAUCUCCUCUGUUGUUAGAAAUGACAAAUAACAAAAGUACAAUUUUAGACUGAGAUUUUAAUAUAUAUACUUUUGGGGGGAUAAGAAGCAUUAAAAUAAAUGAAGUCGAAUAAUUAAAAGCUGUAUGUUUAGCUGACAAUUUUUGGAAUGGCACAUAUUUUGUCAUACACUGUGGUAUUCAAAAAAGCCCAGAUUUGUCCCAAGUAAAUAAAGAAAUGUCUCUUAAAUGUUUUCAUCUCUAAAAGUCUGGUUUAGUGGUUUUAAUAUUUUCUUAUGUUGAUUUAUCAGGAUAUGUAUCUUGUGCAAAGUGUGGCGAGAACAGUAUGUUUACAUCAGUGAAGUAUGUGGUAACUGAAAGGGCCUAAAAAUGGUGAUUUAUGUUGGCUCAGGGCAAAUGUUUUCUGAAAGGACAUUGGCUUUGUGAGAAUUUUUAUAUAAAUAAAUCAAACAAAAUUCUGCUUUUCAUUUCUAAUGCUAUUUGAUUAUUUUUUAUAAUCAAACUGGGUUUUUUUUUGCACGAGAAGUAGUGUAAUGAUUAGUACAUCCCACCUCAUGCUUAUUUUAAAGAUGAAAUUUCAGGUUUUUAAUCCGAAGAGCCCAUUGUAUACUUAUCCUAUAAAAUGAGUGGGCUCUGUGCAUUAAAAUUUUUACCAAAUGGAUAUGGUUUUAUGAAAUGGCAAAAUGACUGCCUAAAUGAUGGCUCAUAAUCCCUAAUGGACUUCUAAAAAUUUGUGAAAUAUCAGAAAUAUUGGGAAUGCAUGGCUUUGGAGAAGGAUAAUGCACAGUAGUGAUCAAUAUCAUUUAUUAUCAGCAGAAUGGCAGAACCCAAUAAAUAAUUCACUUUCUUAAGGACCUACUGAUACCUAGUGAAUCCCUGUGUCAUCAUCAGCAUUAUUUAAAAGAUGGCACAGAAGGUAACAUCUGGGAGCCAAUUCAUCAUUUAAUUAAAUUAUCCUGUAAUGAAAUCUUCUGUAAUGAGAUUAAUUUUAAUUAUUAAUCAGGAGUUGACAUGGGCACAAGGCAUCAUGAAUAAUAAAUGAAAGGCUUUGUCUGUUCCAUUUCUAAGAAAGGACCUACUUUACUGCAAUGGUGCCUUUUAUACAGCCAUGCUGAAUCCUCACAAUGUGGCCAUCCAAGAAGAUGUCUUGAUUUUUAUUUCAGAACCUAAGAGAGGAUAAUUGACAGAUACAUUCAGAUUUUGAUUCCAAAUCUGUGUAUUUUUCCUGGACUCACCAAUUUUUUGUUGAAGCAAUUUUUGGUUUUAAAAAUAUUUUGAGGACGUCAAGGAUAGAAAAUCCUUUUCCAGAGUAAUCUGGGGGUAAAUUCCUAAUUCAGGGACAAAAAUGUCACCUUUUAAGGGACAAAAAUAGGUAAUGCAGUCACAUUGUGGUAUCAACCACAGAUAUGUUAUUGUGCUCUUGUGUGGAUGGUUUGUCAGCUCCUGACCACCCCAGAUCUGCCACAGAGGGGUCACUGCCUCUGACCAGGCUUAUAUGGGGUACGAAGGAGAUGGCAAAUCAGUGGACUUACUCAAUUCAGUGUGAACUCAGCAGUGCCCAGGGAGUACUGGCUCUCCAUGUGGUCACCAAGCAGAGCCUUCCUCGAGACUCUGGCCAUGUUGCUCAGUUCUGUGGCUUCUCCUUUCCCUUAGUUGCCUGAAUGGAAGAUGGCCAUAAAGAGGAGGCAUGAGUCCUGUUCUUUGAAGCCAUGGAAAUCAGGGUUAGGGCCACAGUAACAGGAAAGCAGACAGAAGGUCUUUAAGAACAAAGCAAAACAUAACCUGUCUCACCUCCCUUAAUUAAAGCUCUUCAUUGUAUUUCUAAUUUUAUUUGGACUAAACUCUAAAAUCUUUAAAAAAGCUUCUCCUACUCCAGCUUAUUUCAGUUGACCUAUGCUGUGCCUCCUCUCACUUUCUCUCACCCCUUUGCCUUCUCCUCGGCCUACAUAUUCACUGUGCUACACUCUUCAUGAUGUUAUUUUCAGAAUUGGAAAUGCCAAGACUUCUUCUGCUUUGAGGCUUUCUUAUGUGCAGUUGUUUAGUCAGUUCAGUUUCUGUUGCCUUCUCUUGGAUCUUUUUCAGAUGCAUUCCUAGUCAUCCUUCAGGACCUAGCUUAAAUGUCACUUCCACUGAGAAGCCUUCCCAGAUUCCCAGUCUAAUUUCUUUCGGAUUGCUAUAUUUUCUCAUGGCAUCCAUUGAUUCAUUCAAGAUUGUGGUAAAUUAUAUUAGACCUACUAUGUGCCAGGGCUUUUGCUUUCCUUUCUUUAACUUAUCAAAAUGUAUAAUUAUAUAGUCAUCCUCUAUGAUUAUUGAUUUAUCUCUCCCACUAGACUGUAAGCCUUGAGAAGGCAAGGAUCAUGCUGAAACCUUGGCAUCAUGCCUGGUACAUAGUAUUCCCUCAAUGAAUACUUGAUAAAUGAAUGAAAACAACAGAGAGGGGAACUUAACAAUUUAAUCUGUCAGACACUUGAAGGAGUCUCCUUAAGAGGCAAUGCAUUUUCCAUCCAUGGAAAUGUUUAAAAA